rnacentral:rRNA from 1 species
GACUAACGCUGGCGGCGCGCCUAACACAUGCAAGUCGCACGAGAAACUUCGUAGCAAUACGGGGCGGUAAAGUGGCGAACGGGUGAGUAAUGCAUGGGUGACCUGUCCUCAAGAUGGGAAUAACCUCGCGAAAGCGGGGCUAAUACCCAAUGCCAUUCCGGUCUCACGGGAUCUGGAUGAAAGAUAGCCGUUACAGGCUGUUACUUGAGGAAGGGCCCAUGUCCCAUCAGCUAGUUGGUAGGUACGGCCUACCAAGGCUACGACGGUAGCUGGUCUGAGAGGACGACCAGCCACACUGGCACUGAGACACGGGCCAGACUCCUACGGGAGGCAGCAGUGAGGAAUCUUGCGCAAUGGACGAAAGUCUGACGCAGCGACGCCGCGUGGGGGA